rnacentral:rRNA from 1 species
UACGAAGGGGCUAGCGUUGCUCGGAAUCACUGGGCGUAAAGCGCACGUAGGCGGAUUGAUUAAGUCAGGGGUGAAAUCCUGGAGCUCAACUCCAGAACUGCCUUUGAUACUGGCGAUCUUGAGUCCGGGAGAGGUGAGUGGAACUGCGAGUGUAGAGGUGAAAUUCGUAGAUAUUCGCAAGAACACCAGUGGCGAAGGCGGCUCACUGGCCCGGUACUGACGCUGAGGUGCGAAAGCGUGGGAGCAACAGGGAUAAGAUAC